GUGGGGAAUAUUGGACAAUGGGCGAAAGCCUGAUCCAACCAUGCCGCGUGUGUGAAGAAGGUCUUCGGAUUGUAAAGCACUUUAAGUUGGGAGGAAGGGUAGUAACCUAAUACGUUGCUACUUUGACGUUACCGACAGAAUAAGCACCGGCUAACUUCGUGCCAGCAGCCGCGGUAAUACGAAGGGUGCAAGCGUUAAUCGGAAUUACUGGGCGUAAAGCGCGCGUAGGUGGUUCAGUAAGUUGGAAGUGAAAUCCCCGGGCUCAACCUGGGAACUGCUUUCAAAACUGCUGAGCUAGAGUACGGUAGAGGGUGGUGGAAUUUCCUGUGUAGCGGUGAAAUGCGUAGAUAUAGGAAGGAACACCAGUGGCGAAGGCGACCACCUGGACUGAUACUGACACUGAGGUGCGAAAGCGUGGGGAGCAAACAGGAUUAGAUACCCCGGUAGUCC
rnacentral:rRNA from 1 species